rnacentral:snoRNA from 1 species
AAUCCAUGGUGAGGGCACCUUUUCAAUAAAUCCUUGUAUCUCUCCCAUGCAUCAUAUAAGGUCUCUAAGUUGAUCUGAAUGAAGGAAGAGAUAUCAUUCCUUAACUU